AUUGAACGCUGGCGGCAGGCCUAACACAUGCAAGUCGAGCGAGCGGCGGACGGGUGAGUAAUGUAUGGGGAACUGCCCGAUGGCGGGGGAUAACUACUGGAAACGGUAGCUAAUACCGCAUACUAUCGGAUGUACCCAUAUGGGAUUGGCUAGUUGGUGGGGUAAAGGCUCACCCAGGCGACGAUCUCUAGCUGGUCUGAGAGGAUGACCAGCGACACUGGAACUGAGACACGGCCCAGACUCCUACGGGAGGCAGCAGUGGGGAAUAUUGCACAAUGGGCGCAAGCCUGAUGCAGCCAUGCCGCGUGUAUGAAGAAGGCCUUCGGGUUGUAAAGUACUUUCAGCGGGGAGGCGUUACCCGCAGAAGAAGCACCGGCUAACUCCGUGCCAGCCGCCGCGGUAAUUC
rnacentral:rRNA from 1 species